AGGUGACAUGACGUUGUUUAGCGGGGGAGGGGGAAUAGAAGGCGACAUUUCCAAUAUUCACAGGGUUUCGACUUGAAAGAAAGAAAGAAAUCCAGCACUUUCCAACACCGCCGCCCGAAAUAUCUAUUCUAUAUUUUUUUGCAACUACACGUGGAUGAGUUCUGAGUAUUGUAAAGACGGGAGCUGAAGGCAGUACAGAUGGCACUAUACAUUUUAUCCUCAGAGCAAUCCUGUGAGAAGAAUUAAACUAAGAUGAAGUUACCCUAAUUGCCUUAAACUCUGGCUUGCAAAGCUACUUGGUCCAGUGGACAACAUUUGGGAGGAGAACCUGCUCUUCCCUGGAAACUGAAGAUCCUAUUUCUGCAAUUACCUCCUCACUAUACAAGACUCCCAGGUUUACUCCAGCAAAGCAGAAGGCUAUAUUGCUUCACUGCCUGGGUCCUGAAGGCCAAAUAAUAUAUAAUCAUUUGCCAUUUCCUACCAACUUGGAAGAAGAUGCCAACCCUUAUGAAGCUGCUCUUCAAACCUUAGAUGAGCAUUUAAACAAUACUCUGAAUUUGUUUCUGAAUAUUAUAAGUUCUAUGCUAUAUUCCAACUGCCUGGUGAAUCUAUCUAUCAGUAUGUCACAGAUUGCAUGCCUUAAGUGUAACCUCUGAGUUUGCCAGCUUUACUGAUGAAAUGAUCAGGGAUCAAAUCGUUAUGAAAACAAACUGCUACAAACUACAUGAAAAACUGCUACUGGAAGGAAAACUUACCUUGGAUAAAGUUAUAGAGAUGGCUAGGAAGGUGGAAAGUGCUCUUCACUGUGCCAGAUCACUUUAUUUGGUACCCAAAACCAACUUCCUGAAAUCCAAGCUGUUCAGUGUAAAUCCUUCCAGUCCCAAUCUUCUCAUAUGGCACUGCCCCAGAAAGUGGCAGCACAAGAAAAGGAAGAGCUACCACUGCUACUGGUGUGGAAACUCUGCCCACAAAGCUGAUUUUGCUCACUGUUCUGCACAGAAGGUCACUUCAACCAUUUAGGAGCAUGAUGCUAAACUUAUAGAAGUCUUAAGAAAACUCCAACACGGACUUACUAUUUCUUCAGAGAAAUGUCAGUUUUGCAUACACUUGGUGACUUACUUGGGACACACUGUCUCAGAGUGGCAUACAUCCCAAAACUGACUUGGCGAAAGCUAUUUGGGAAACACCAGAGCCACACAACAAGGAUGCACUUUGAUAAUUUUUAGGACUCUGUAUUACUCUAAAUUUGUGAGACAAUUUUGCCUCAAAGGUUGCUCGAUUGCAUCUUCUGUUUAAAAAGAAUGUAGCAUUUAAAAGGGAUUGCAUCCUACAAGGCUAGUUUUCAGCCUAUCAAAUCAGCCAUUGCUGAAAGCUCUGCUUUCACUUCUUUUGAUACCAACAGGCACACUGUUUUAACCACUGAUGCUUCUGAAUAUUGCUUGGGUGCUGUCUUGACCCUGCAAAAAGCAGGCAGGGAAGUUACAGUUUCCUUUGUUUCCAGAGUGCUAACUGCAUCAGGGAAGAUUUAUUCUGUCACUGAAAAAGAAGCUCUAGCAUGUUUCUGAGCAGUGAGGUACUUCAGGACUUACUUGUGGGGUAGAAAAUUAACUUUAUGGUUAGACCACAAACCCCUAUCUGCUUUAUUUACUACUUGGGAAUCAAGCCGAGCAACCUCAAAAAUAGGCAAAUGGAUCCCUAGACUUACAGACUUUGAUUU